GACGAACGCUGGCGGCGUGCUUAACACAUGCAAGUCGAACGGAAAGGCCCUGCUUUUGUUGGGUGCUCGUGUGGCGAACGGGUGAGUAACACGUGAGUAACCUGCCCUUGACUUUGGGAUAACUUCAGGAAACUGGGGCUAAUACCGGAUAGGAUCUCCUGCUGCAUGGUGGGGGUUGGAAAGUUUCGGCGGUUGGGGAUGGACUCGCGGCUUAUCAGCUUGUUGGUGUGGUAGUGGCUUACCAAGGCUUUGACGGGUAGCCGGCCUGAGAGGGGUAACGGCCACAUGGGGACUGAGAGACGGCGCAGAAGCCAACGGGAGGCAGCAGUGGGGAAUAUUGCACAAUGGGCGGAAGCCUGAUGCAGAAACGCCGCGUGCGGGAUGACGGCCUUCGGGUUGUAAACCGCUUUCGCCUGUGACGAAGAGUGAGUGACGGUAAUGGGUAAAGAAGCACCGGCUAACUACGUG
rnacentral:rRNA from 1 species